rnacentral:rRNA from 1 species
UACGGAGGGUGCAAGCGUUAAUCGGAAUUACUGGGCGUAAAGGGUUCGUAGGUUGUUUAUCAAGUUAUCUGUGAAAUCCCUGGGCUUAACCUGGGAAGGUCAGAUAAAACUGGUGAACUCGAGUAUUGGAGAGGGUAGUGGAAUUUCCGGUGUAGCGGUGAAAUGCGUAGAGAUCGGAAGGAACACCAGUGGCGAAGGCGGCUACCUGGCCAAAUACUGACACUGAGGAACGAAAGCGUGGGGAGCAAACAGG